rnacentral:rRNA from 1 species
GAUGAACGCUAGCUACAGGCUUAACACAUGCAAGUCGAGGGGAAGCGGCAUCGAAAGCUGGCUUUUGAUGGGCGUCGACCGGCGCACGGGGGAGUAACGCGUAUCCAACCUGCCCAUCACUUGGGAAUAACCUUGCGAAAGUAAGACUAAUGCCUAAUGACAUCCAACGAAGGCAUCCGAAUGGGAUUAAAGAUUUAUCGGUGAUGGACGGGGAUGCGUCUGAUUAGCUUGUUGGCGGGGUGACGGCCCACCAAGGCAACGAUCAGUAGGGGUUCUGAGAGGAAGGUCCCCCACAUUGGAACGGAGACACGGCCCAAACGCCUACGGGAGGCAGCAGUGAGGAAUAUUGGUGCAUGGGCGAGAGCCUGAACCAGCCAAGUAGCGUGCAGGAUGACGGCCCUAUGGGUUGUAAACUGCUUUUAGAAGGGAAUAAAGUGGGGCACGUGUGACUUUUUGCAUGUACCUUAUGAAUAAGGACCGGCUAAUUCCGUG